UGGGUGGCAUGCAUCCCCAGACUCUGGUUGUGUCUGUGCAGAUUGACAGAGGGACAGGCUGGAGACAUGCUGCAGGAACACACCAGAAACCUCCGCCCCUCACUAACUCUGAGGGGAGAAAUGUCCUCGGUUCUUGAUGGGCAACAAACUGCUAUGAAAGGACACGUCCCCUUUGGCUGAAGAUGAGAGAACAGGACAAGAGGGUGAGGCUAGGAGUCAUGUCUGGUGAAAAAGGAACAGCUAAUGCUCUUUGGGACGUCUGGCCAGAGGACACCCGUCAGAGCGUUGCAGUGCCUCCACGUAGCCCUCUGGUGUCUGGUGCUGCUGGGUAUACAGGACACGGAAUAUUCUCAAGGCAUGUGGGAGAUCAAGUUCCUUCUCAUACAGAUCCCUCAUUUACCAGCACUGGGUACGUCCACUGCGCACCCUCAGGGCUCCUCGUUGUGCAUUGCUGUGGCUCCAGAGAACAGAUCUGACUCUCAGUGUGUCCCUGUGGAUGUCUGGAGAAGGAAGUGUUGGCUGAAGGAGGUAUGUUUCCAGACUCUGGACAGCCAACGUGAGACCAAAGACCACAACAUACCGUGGUCAUGACCUAACUAUUUGAACAGGAGUCCUGUGUCUUCAUCUGUCUGCACACCAGCCCUUCGGCUCCUCUUUGUGAGUGCAGCCUGCUUGGAAGCAGCAGUGCUGUCCUACUUUGGUGGGUUUGCUCCUUGCACAGCAGAUGGAGAUCUCCUUCUGCAACUCUCUCCUGCCCAAGACAGUGACUGUUUUAUAUAUCUCACUACGCAUAAGCAGUAGAUGACCGUUUUCAGGGUUCAGACCCUUUGUGCUCCUCCACAGCUUUGGGAACUUUGCAAGAAAAUAACCUCAGUGCUUGUAGUUUGCACAGAAGAGAUCAGCAAAGAGAAAAUAGAAUCUUUCUUGGGAUCUGCAGUCAAAGGAGGGAGUUGAAGGUGCUGCCCACCAAGCAGAGGAAACAGUACAUGACAGAGACUUGAUUUUGAGUCUGUCUUUCACAUAAAUACACAGAAUAAGGAGGUUGAGUCCCAGCCAUCUCCUCUGCCCAUGGACUGCGAUGGGAGUGCCAGGACACUUCCCUAAGCAGUGCGCCAGAGCUCCCAAAAAUAGAGUCUGGAAAUGAUGUCUAUAGAAUGUGACCUGGAGAAACACUGUUUCUGGAGAUGGAAAGUGUGCUGAGCACUGCUGGGUAUUAGAGGAAUGACAUGGUUCUAGACAGAGUUGGAAGGAGACCUGUGGCAGAGCUCUGGACUUGGAGAAGUCUUCCGUGCAUUCAGAAGCUAUGUAGAGUAAAGAACUCUUUCACCUGGUUGAGUGUCUUUUGCAUCCUCCAAACCUCCCAGCUCAGUAAAAGUGCAGCCUGGCUGCCAACUAAGAGCAAAGACAUUUGAGCCAAGUGGUAUUUCAAGAGUCUCUAAAUCUCCUGGACUGAAUCUUUUUCUCAUAUGCUGAGAGACCUUGGCCUCAAGUAUUUUCCAGGCUCCUAGAAAAUGCCAUCCUGGUUAUGCUGUUAAACCAGCACUUCUUACACAGCAACUUAAAACAUUUUACAUUUUCUCAUUGCAAUGAGCUGGCAGUAAGCACAUCUUGUUCUCCUGCUUCUAAAUGUUUCUUCCAAAUCAUCUCUGCUGUCACACUUAAGCAGCUUGGUGAUAAUUUCGUAACUUCCCAUGGAGAAAGGGAAGGGUGUCUGCUUGCUGUGCAAUGAAAGUUCUAAUUUUAUCUGGCAGGUAGGGAGCAUGCUGAGGUUUUCAUUUAACCUUGUAGGAGAAUGACCUGUGUGACUAAUGGAUUUGAGGGAAAGUUCAGAAAAUGUAAAGAACAGAGGUUGCCGUGCUCUGACUUCAUGUUGGGGCCAUCUGGUUUCUGUGGCUCACACGAAAUGCUAUUGAAAGCAUGAAGCGAGGAGAGAGGACUGAAAAACCUUGCCAGUACCUGCCCUGUGUCGAUGAGUUCCUUUGGCUCCCAGUGUUGGGCAGGUGGUGAACAUGGGGAGGGUACCUCAGGUGGGCAAGCAACCCCCAAAAAUGCCUUGUGCUCAUGGGCUGGGUGCAAGCCCAGCAGAGUAUAAGGGUCAUAACACCCUUGGACAUGGCCACAGGAUGUGUCUGGGCUACCAGAGCUCACCCAGAGUGCCUGUGCUUGUUCCCGUGUUUGAGUCCUGAAUGCUGCCUCCUGCCUUCCUUCCUGUAAGAGGAAAGAAAUCCCUGUGUUUAGGUCACCACUGUGGUUGCCUAAUCCCAGUAGAGUUGUUUCUUGACAUCGAAUCAAUAGGAUCAAUUAGUCUCCUGACAUUGAGAGAGUCUCUGCAUAGAGAGAGCUCUCUGCAAAUUAUAAGAAAGUUGAAAGAGGAAAAAAUGGCACUUUUAUGGUGUGCCUCUUUGCUUCUUGUAUUUACUUCUUAUUUCGAAGAUUUAUUUGGAAACAGGAGGUUCUUUCAAUACACUUAGCACUGGUCCCUGCCAGCUAUGUCUCUCCGAAGCUGGCAGUCAUUUUCCAAAACAAAAGCUUUUACCUUUUCCCUUAUGGCUCGUCCCUAUUUAGGUCAAUAAAAAUGAGAUUGUAGAAAAGCUUUCUCCUCUUCUACACUGUAUUUGUUCUGCAUUUCUAUAUAAGCUUGUAAAAACAAGUGCUCAGAAAGCCUCUAAUGAAGACAUUACCUGCAUCUCUGGACUUUUCAUCUUACAGCUACCAUGUCAUUUGUACAUGAUUAUUAUUUUAUAAGCCCGAAAUCCCAGUGUAUUGACUAUAAUACCAUAAACACACGUGUAUUUUAGGUCACUGAGUGAAAAGCCACUGUCCUGUUGUUACCUGGCAAAGACAUUUUUGUUCUGCAUUGCUUCCCACCUGUUAGUAUCUGUUGAGAACCUGCGCUGUAAUGAACAAACUGUGAUUUUUCUUUGGCCUGGCUUUAUCCCCAUUUCCUGGAGAUUUGAAGAAAGGAGUGUGUACCCAUAAUGUUCAUGGGCAAUGGAGGGAAGGGAUGCUCUCAGGGCUGGGAAUCCAGGACAGAUCACAACUGGCAAACUCCUGAAAGCCCCCAGUAAUUCCUGAAGGGGUGGCUACCAUCCAAAGCUUAAGAAAACACUGCUUCACAAUACUUUAUAACACGGCUUCAUUGGGGGACACUGUCAGAUUCAAGCACAUCUCAUUCCUUCUUGAAAAGUCCUUUACCAGAGCAAGAGCACAAGCACACGGCCACCCAACCCAACCUAACACCACAUAUGCCUCACUGCAGCGCAUCCCCUGAAUCCGGGUCCAGCAGACAGUGUGGCUCCAGACUGCAAAUCUCCUCCAGGAGUCAAGCUCCCUGCCUCAUAAACACAGAAUCCGUCAAGCCGAUGGAUGCAAGACCUCCGGGCCAUUAUUAGCCAAUAUGAAGCUAAUAAAAGACUCUAUAAACCAACCCAUGAUAAAUAAUUUUACAAGGAAGGCUAUGGCGGUGUACAGCUUGUUUGGAGUCUGAAAGCUCCUGUAAUGUGCUGCCAAGAGGAUUAAAUGCUAUCGCUGUUUUUCAGGCACUGUGCAGUGUGCCAGGGGGUAUGUGUGGUUUCUCUUUGGUGGGUUGGUGAGGAGUUUGGUUGCUCAGACAUGGAGAGAGAAGUUCCACACGUGUACAGCAUCUCUGGGAGCAAUGGGCUGACAGUGAACUGGGACAACUGAACUGAGCCAAGCAUGGCACAGUAUCUAUUUUACACGUUAUCUUUCUGCCAAAGCUUGCAGGCUGGGGGGGCUUUGAUACUGCAACAGGCUUUAACUCAGAGCUCUUAGCCAUCGGUGCAGAUUGAAGGCAGCCUUAAGGGUAGGAGCUUAUCCCCACUAGCAGCACACUGACAUGGGCACAGGAUGGCUGCAAGGGUGACAAUGGCUUUAGAGGUCCGACCUGACGCAUAUAUACUGUGAGAUCCGGGAGAUGGAAUCUGAGUGAGGUCCUAGGAGAAACAAGGGCAAGUUGACCC